rnacentral:rRNA from 1 species
GCUAAUACAUGCAGUCGAGCGGACAGAAGGGAGCUUGCUCCCGGAUGUUAGCGGCGGACGGGUGAGUAACACGUGGGUAACCUGCCUGUAAGACUGGGAUAACUCCGGGAAACCGGAGCUAAUACCGGAUAGUUCCUUGAACCGCAUGGUUCAAGGAUGAAAGACGGUUUCGGCUGUCACUUACAGAUGGACCCGCGGCGCAUUAGCUAGUUGGUGGGGUAAUGGCUCACCAAGGCGACGAUGCGUAGCCGACCUGAGAGGGUGAUCGGCCACACUGGGACUGAGACACGGCCCAGACUCCUACGGGAGGCAGCAGUAGGGAAUCUUCCGCAAUGGACGAAAGUCUGACGGAGCAACGCCGCGUGAGUGAUGAAGGUUUUCGGAUCGUAAAGCUCUGUUGUUAGGGAAGAACAAGUGCGAGAGUAACUGCUCGCACCUUGACGGUACCUAACCAGAAAGCCACGGCUAACUACGUGCCAGCAGCCGCGGUAAUACGUAGGUGGCAAGCGUUGUCCGGAAUUAUUGGGCGUAAAGGGCUCGCAGG